rnacentral:rRNA from 1 species
GACGAACGCUGGCGGCGUGGAUUAGGCAUGCAAGUCGGACGGUAGGGCUUUAUCGUAAGAUAGAGUUUGAGAGUGGCGAACGGGUGAGUAACACGUAGGAAUCUACCCUUAAGACGGGGACAACCCAGGGAAACUUGGGCUAAUACCGGAUGAGAGUGCGAGAGAUUGCAUUUAAAAGGAUGGCGAAAAGUUGUCGCUUAGGGAUGAGCCUGCGGUCUAUUAGUUAGUUGGUGAGGUAAGAGCUCACCAAGGCGAUGAUAGAUAGGCGGCCUUAACGGGUGGUCGCCACACUGGGAUUGAGAUACGGCCCAGACUCCUACGGGAGCAGCAGUCGAGAAUAGUCUACAAUGGCCGGAAGGCUGAUAGUGCGACGCCGCGUGAAACGAGGGAGCCCUUCGGGGUGUAAAGUUCUUUUCUAUACGAGCAGUGCUAUAUAUAUGGAUAGUAUAUAUAGAGGGAUAGUAGUAUAGGAAUAAGCAAAGGCUAAACUCCGUAGCCAGC